rnacentral:tRNA from 1 species
GCGAGCGUGGUGAAACUGGUAUACACGCUAGACUUAGGAUCUAGUACCUCGGUGUGAGGGUUCGAGUCCCUCCGCUCGCA